rnacentral:rRNA from 1 species
UACAGAGGGUGCAAGCGUUGCUCGGAAUCAUUGGGCGUAAAGGGUAGGUAGGUGGUCUCGUUUGUCUGGGGUGAAAGCCCAGGGCUUAACCCUGGAAGUGCCCGGAAACGGCGAGACUGGAGUCUUGGAGAGGGUCGUGGAAUCCUGGUGUAGCGGUGGAAUGCGCAGAUAUCAGGAGGAACACCAAUAGCGAAGGCAGCUCGCUGGGACGGUACUGACGCUAAGGCGCGAAAGCGUGGGAGCGAACAGG